rnacentral:rRNA from 1 species
AAAGACUUGACGGUACUUCACAACACCCUAGAGGAGCCUGUUUAAUAACCGAUACCCCACGAUUAACCCCACCCACCCUAGCCUAGACAGUCUAUAUACCGCCGUCGCCAGCCUACCUUGUGAAAGAAAUAAAGUAAGCACAAAAGACCACCCCUAACAUGACAGGUCGAGGUGUAACUAAUGAGUGGGUAAAAAAUGGGCUACAUUUUCUAAUACAGAACAUACGAACAAUAUAUGAAACUAGAAAUUGAAGGCGGAUUUAGCAGUAUAAUAAGAAUAGAAUACCUA